CAGAAGUUGUCCCAGCAGCAUCAGCUUUCCGAAGAUAUUCCCUUCUCUUAUUCUUCAGCUUGGCAGUGGUACUCUUUGUCCUAGUCAGGUCAACAGCUUUGUCCUGGGAACUCGAUACUGCAAGGGAGACCAAGCCAGCACCACUAUUUUCCACAACUUCUCCUUCAUGCCUUGAAGUUGCCUCAGUAAGGUCCGAAGUUGUAACUGGGGCACACUGCUGAUCUGAUGCACCAGAUUUCAUAACAGAUACUUCUUUACCACCCAUAUUAUCACUUUUGCUUGAAGACUCAUCCGACAUCAGGUUGUCAUCAGAAUGGAACUUUCCAACAUCUGCAGAUUCCAAAUUUUUGGAUGCAGAAACAAUCAUGUUAUCUGACAUCCCGUUAUUUUCUAUGUGGCAAGUCACAGGUUCAUCUAGCCCUUCCUGCAUGGUCUCUAUGUUUAUAACCUCAUUGCCAAAAUCUGUACCUGUUGAAGCAGAUUCCUCCGUACUUUGAUUGACUAUGUCUGCUGAUUUUGAAGUAAUAGAUCCUGAAGAAAUCUCUGAAAUAUUAUCAUCUUGUUUGGGACCUUUAGGCAAUCCCUUUUGUCCUUGCCCUUCAGUUUCUGGAGUUCCAUAAUUAAGCUGUUCCUGUCGGGAAAAAUCAUUUACCUUAGCUUGAUGAGCAGAAUCUGCAAUAUCAACAAUACCUUGAACACCAGAAAAUUCGGAAGGAACACCAACAAAACCAUUUACAGAAUCAUCAAAUUUGGCUUCAGACACUUGAGAAGUUGAAGCACUGAUCAUUGGAACUGAUUCCUGCCUUAAUUCUGCCAAGCCUUCACUGGUUGCUGAUGAAGAAGUAAGAAUUCUUUUACUUUCUACAGAAUCAGACAAUCCGCUGUUAGAAGAUAUUCCCCGUUCUACAUUAUGACAAGAAAAGCCUGACAUUGAGCUAGAUUGCCCACCAAUCUGUUGCUGGGACUGGUUAUGUACUUUUUUGCCUGGCUUCUUCUGAUGAUCCUUAAUGGAGUUUGACCUACUCAGAGUUUCCUUUCUUUUGCCUUCACUGUUGCUCCCAACAAGCAUUAAUUCUUCAGAUAGAGCAGGAGCAGCAGGCAAUGAAGAAUUGGGUGCCACACUAUCAACAGUGACUGCAGCAGAUUGUCUAGAUUCCACCAGCAAUGAUUUGGAUGUUGAAGAUUCACUAUCAGGUUUUGAAUGCAGUGAAGAACUUUCUAGAACUUUCUCUAAAUCCUUUUGUACAUUAGAUGAAUUAGCUUCCAUGGAGGGCCCUGAAGGUUUAACAUAUCCAACCUUUUCAAUUGCAGACGAGCUAUUAGAUGACACUGAAUCCACAACCUUCUCCCCAAUAAAACUAGCUGUUGGUUUCACNNNNNNNNNNNNGAAGAAGCAGAUGAGAUCACAUUAUGUGCAUCGCGAGUAUGUUCCGCAUUUGAUGGUUCUGCCACAUGCAUUGAAGUCCCAGACUUGUUAACCGGCAGAGAAUUAAGGGAAGGUGGAUUCAAGGAUGAUACAUUUUGUGGACCUUGGCUAACAGAAUAGUUAAACCUAGUUGGCUGAGAAUUGGGUGCUAUCUGGCCACUGGUAUGCGGUAGUGAACUCGAAGGUUGAAAAAAUAGAUUACUUGGAUUAUAAGAAUUUGAAUAGUAAUUGAUUGGAUGAGUAGGUGCAAAUGACGGAAUUGGCUGGGAUUGAGGAGGCAUAUUAGGAUGAUGUCUAAGGGCUGAUGAUCCGCCAUCUACAUAUGUGUCUGUCCGCUUAUC
rnacentral:misc_RNA from 1 species